GCUGCCAGGAAACGGGUGGGAGGUCUAGGAACUACCCAGAAGGCCCCAAUCUGACUCCACGGCAGGCUCCAUUUUCAACUUUGCCUAACUAGGCCUGAGUUUCUGUUUUUUGGAACACAGAAAACCAGUUUCAGGAAACCCCUCAGCUGGAAGGAAGGCAGCCAAUCGGCUGAAAGGAUAACAUGGGCUUGAGCUAAGUGCAACGAUUCAGCAAACCUUCCCCACAAUCUGUCAUACUUUCACAUCCUUGGAAUCCACAGGGCCAGGGUGGGGCUCAGUGACACUGAUUCAGUGCUGCUUUGUCUGGCCUGGAACUAACGUGGGCCUGGACCCUGCUCUUGCCUGCCUCCUGGCCACCAACUGUUUGUGCAGACUUGGUGGCUAUUGAUUCUCCACAGACCACAGGUGACAUGGCCUCGCCGUUAGGAAACAGCUGCUGGGGUCCCCGAGAGUCCUUCCUCCUCGGCGAUGGUGAACGGGCUUCGCUGGACUCUGCACAUCACACACCCGUUUGGCGGUUCAUCCACCAAGCCAGAGGCUGCCGUGGAGGAAGCUACCUUCGUAGUGUCUGUAAUUCCUCCCUUGUGCAGGCAUGCUCUUCCUUCUGGGCACACAGCUGAACCUCGGCUACAUCUGUCCAGUCACCAUCGCGGGAGCACAGAGACCUCCGCCACGGGUCUCUCUCCAGCGAGGGGCCGCCCGUGCUGCUUUUAGGAGCUAAUAGACUCUCUGGUCCAUCAGCCAUUCCCACAGGUCCCAGGACUCACUUGGACUGUGUUCUCCAUGCCCCUCGGAGGACCGCCACUGAGGGUCCUCUCUCCUCAGACAGCUUGGCCUCAGCGACAAUGUGUCUUAGCCCCGUGAAGACAACACAACUGCCGGCUCCCAUGCUCCCCUUUGGUUCUGUCUUACUCCUUUUUGGGUGGGAAGUGUCGCAUUAGCUCUUCCUGAACGUGAACAGACGUCCGCUCACCCCAGUGAGGCUAUCAAAGGCUGGUCCAGGCCUAACACGCCCACAUGAACAGCCCUGUCUGUACCUACACAGAGGAGGGAGGUCACGGAGUCUGUGUGAUGCUCCUGGCCUGGUCUCCAGUGUCUGUCCCUCUUCUGUGCCUCCUGCUCCCUCCUGCGAUCCUCCAGAUCACACUUCGCUCCUCACCCUUGAAGGCUCCAAUCUGAUCACGCUCCUUCGGAGGGGGAGUUGGGAUCAUCAACAAAGGAUCCUCAGGAAGAGAAAGGGACGGCGGGGGAGCACAGUGGAUGUGUGUGUGCCUUUCCACAAUGUCAGAGUUUAUUAAAACACAAGAAAUUCACAAGCUACGUGUUGGGGUUUGGAUGAGAACUGUCCCCUGGCCCAUGUGCUUAAGCACUUCCUCCAGCAGGUGGCACUGUUUGGGGAGGUCGUGACCCUGUAGGAGGCGGGCCUUGCUGGAGGCCUUGCUGGAGCCCUAGCCCCCCUCCAUCUCAUUCUCUGCUUCCUGGUUACUCUGUGAUCCCUCAGCUCCCA